rfam:Soonwooa buanensis strain DSM 22323 genome assembly, contig: LY62DRAFT_scaffold00014.14
UUCUAGCCCCGAUGGUAGCGGCAUCCUUUGGGGCGAGGUGAGGGGGCGGAGCGUAGCGGAGCCAUCCGAGCCUCGCACUAAAGAUAUAGCGGACAGCGGGAUUAGCU